rnacentral:rRNA from 1 species
UAGGGAAUCUUCGGCAAUGGACGGAAGUCUGACCGAGCAACGCCGCGUGAGUGAAGAAGGUUUUCGGAUCGUAAAGCUCUGUUGUAAGAGAAGAACGAGUGUGAGAGUGGAAAGUUCACACUGUGACGGUAUCUUACCAGAAAGGGACGGCUAACUACGUGCCAGCAGCCGCGGUAAUACGUAGGUCCCGAGCGUUGUCCGGAUUUAUUGGGCGUAAAGCGAGCGCAGGCGGUUAGAUAAGUCUGAAGUUAAAGGCUGUGGCUUAACCAUAGUAGGCUUUGGAAACUGUUUAACUUGAGUGCAAGAGGGGAGAGUGGAAUUCCAUGUGUAGCGGUGAAAUGCGUAGAUAUAUGGAGGAACACCGGUGGCGAAAGCGGCUCUCUGGCUUGUAACUGACGCUGAGGCUCGAAAGCGUGGGGAGCAAACAGGAUUAGAUACCCUGGUAGUCCACGCUGUAAACGAUGAGUGCUAGGUGUUAGACCCUUUCCGGGGUUUAGUGCCGUAGCUAACGCAUUAAGCACUCCGCCUGGAGUACGACCGCAAGGUUG